rnacentral:rRNA from 1 species
UGGGGAAUAUUGGACAAUGGGGGCAACCCUGAUCCAGCAAUGCCGCGUGGAUGAAGAAGGUUUUCGGAUUGUAAAGUCCUUUCGGCGGGGACGAUGAUGACGGUACCCGUAGAAGAAGCCCCGGCUAACUUCGUGCCAGCAGCCGCGGUAAUACGAAGGGGGCUAGCGUUGCUCGGAAUGACUGGGCGUAAAGGGCGCGUAGGCGGCUUGCAUAGUCAGAUGUGAAAUUCCCGGGCUUAACCUGGGGGCUGCAUUUGAUACGUGCGGGCUAGAGUGUGAAAGAGGGUCGUGGAAUUCCCAGUGUAGAGGUGAAAUUCGUAGAUAUUGGGAAGAACACCGGUGGCGAAGGCGGCGACCUGGUUCAUGACUGACGCUGAGGCGCGAAAGCGUGGGGAGCAAAC